GGCUCAUUACAAGUAAGGGUUACUUGGGAAGACAAACAGCAUCACUAUGAAUGUCCUUGCAACCUCCUUCUUCUCUCCCAGCAUUUAUUGCUGAGCACGACACCCCAUGACAUGGGACAUCCCUCUGCCCAUCCUGGGCCAGCUGUCCUGGCCGUGUCCCCUCCAGCUCCUUGUGCACUCCCAGUCUCCUCCUCAUUGGCAGGGCAGUUUGAUAAAUACUAAAGUCCUUGAUGCUGUAAACACUUUUCAGCAGCAACUAAAACAUCGGUGUGUUAUCAACACUGUUUUCAUCACCAAUCCAAAACAUGGGACCAUAUGAACUACUGUGAAGAAAAAUAACUGCCCCUGGCAAAACCAGUACAGGACCACAUCCUUUGGAAAGGCAACUGUCUUCUGUGCUAUUAAUGCUGCACCAUCACAACUUCUGUUGGUGUAACUCGCAUGGAGACCUACUGCUUUGCUGUAGUGGAAGGUAAAAGCUCCUGGGUUUCUCCACAUUAUUUGAGAUGUUUCUGCAGCCCCCCAGCUUCACCACGUGCCUUACUCCCAUCAGCAUGGACACAUGCACCUCCUAACACUGUCUUCCAGGCCCAGGCUCUGCAUCUCAACCAGCAUUGCUCAUAUCAAGGCCUGAAGGUAAUUCCCAGCUUUCAUCCUCCAAAACGUGCAUCUAGCUUGUCCUCUGCUGAAGGAAGGAUUUAGGCUCCACGAGGCAUCUCAAUUUGUGUGCUGAACCACAUCAAGCAAGGGAGCCACUUCCCCGAUGACAGAAACGCUCUGGUCUGCUGGCCAGCGCUGUCUGUACACAUGGGGACAUGAGGGACAGUGCCAAACAGAAGCAGGAAGAAUAUCUGAAGACCAUCCCUCACUUCGUUCCUGCCUCUGGUACAAUGCACUCAUUUGGGCUGUCAGAUGAAGCCAAUAGCCAUCCUUUAGACUACUCUAUUGAGGAAAAAAAAAAAAAAAAAAAAAAAGUCAUACAACACUGAAAGGGCCUUCUGGAGGAGAAUGCUGAUCAUUCAAGUUUCAUCCUGCAGGCCAGUACAGACCGAUGAUGUUUACUGGGUCAGAUUCUCAUCAUCCCCAAAUAUCUAUUGACUACAUAAGCAGCAAAAGAAGCAAGCUGACGCAUCCUUGCAUGUGAUGGGGCACUAAUAUUUACACAAAUCCAACACCAUAUGACUUAUCACCAGCUGUUACACGUAUGCUGUUACACAUACAGACUGCUAGUUACAUUACUCCUGGUUUCACUCUGGAUUUGCAUGGGUUCUCAGUACUUUUAAGCCCUCGGUGGUAGGUGGAUCCCCAUGGCAUCUCCAGCCCCAGCAGUUCUGUCUAAAGAGCGGCUGGCCCAGUCUCACCUGCACAGUUCUGUGCUUCCAUUGCAUCUCUUGCCAUAGGCUCACACCUGAGGUGCAAAGCCACCUCUGCAGUAUUUGCAUGAUGGCAAAUGACUGCUGCCCCUUCCUUUACUUUCCCCUCACUUGCCUUUUCUUGCCUUCCUUCCCUUCACAUCCCUGUUGUUGUUGGCUUCAGUCCUGAAAUGACUUUGUUGGACAAAAUGUCUUUAAAUCAGUGGUGUUCACUAUUCUUCAACUUUUUCUUUUUAGAGCUAAUCUACCUUCAUUGCCAUCAUACAUAACUUUGAAUGACAGAUAAUAGUCUAAGAGAGAAUAAUAUUCUAAAUACUUAAACAAAUUUUUACCUUUUUUUUUUUAAUUGAAAGGUCCUUUCUGAUGCUGAUAUUUCAGUAUAACUGCUAAAACAACUGUUUUUCCUUAGAAGAUCCCAAUUGAUCAGAGAAAUGAAAACGGAGAAAAGGCUUUCCUCUUGCUAUGGAGGAUGUGAUUGUCUCCUCACGUAUAUUCAGUGUAGUUACUUAUCCCUGCAAAGCCCAAAAAGAGAACAAAUGGUAUGUGCUGCUUAUUAAUAAUAUAGCAGCAUGGUUGCAAAAUUUACGGGAACACCAGCUUUAUUUCUGUGUAUUAUUAGUCAUUAUAACAAGCAAGCUGUUAAGAAUUAGUGCAUCGUCUUUUUCUUUACACUACAUUUAUGCCCUUAUAUUAAAAUCACAUCUGAAUGGACAUCUGUGAGAUCAGACUAAUUGUUUGAGAUCAAACUGAGUUUUCAGAUAGAAAUGCAAAAGUGAUGACUCUGUGAAGAGAAGUUCCUCACCUGAAAGUCACCUUUAGCCUUAAGUCAGCACAACUUCCACUGCAAACUCUUGGGACCAAGCUCAGCUGAGGUGAAGAAAUGUGUCAGGGGAGCGCUUGUGUGGUACUGCAUGAACAUAUGGAUGCAGUAAAAGUGGCCAGGCACCGUGCUGUGGAUUUGCUGUGCAACUCUGAGCAUAUCAGUGCAGGCUCUGAUCUUCAGAGGGCAUUGGGGAGUACCAGAGCACAGAUCUUUUACAACAAUACAAGGAUUGUAUGUAGAUGUAUGUAAAUUCCAUUGUAUGUAAAUAGAUCUUUUUUUUAGACUGAUGAACAUGGAGUAAAAAUUGGCAAGCAGUCAGAUGCGAGCACACCUUCCUCCUCCAUUAGCCCGCAGUCUUGGUCUUGCUUGCAAUUUUAGACCAUCCUUUCUCUGGUCCUACCACUGAUCUAUACAGAAAUUAAUCUGAAUGAGUGUGGUAUUCUGUGGAAGACUGCAACUUAAAUUUCAAGGGAAUGUAUGGCAGUAAGGGCAGAGUUGUGGUUUAUGCGCUCCAGAGAUGCAGGUUUAUUUAUUUACAUCACCCUGAGUAUCACAGUGUGCGCUGAUGAGUGAUUCAGCUUUCCAGCUCCUAAGAUAAAGAUGCUAUUUCAUAGAUAUUGGAAUAUUGUAGCGAUUUGACAUUUUGCAAGUUUUUAAAAGGUCUCCCUUGGAUUUAAUUCUCUAAAUUGAUGGUUAAACCGCAGAUCUAGGUAAGAAAGAGAUUUGAAGUAAGAAAAACCAUGUAGAGUGCAUCAGAAGUUGAAACCAAUUCACACAAGCCUCAGAAGAAAUAAAGGGAGAAGGUAGAAAUACCAGUCCCAUACAUCCUAGAAUUUUGUGAUAAAUUUGUGAGGAUUUUUAAGUCAUAAAGGACUCACUGUCAAACUUCUGGCACUUUGAAGAUUUCCUUUCAUCAAAUGGCAAGCUUUUUGUACAGUCUGUUUACAGUAUCACAAUGAGGAAACACUCAAGUUGAGGUAAAUAGAAAAGUUGGUACUUUGGAGUCUUCUAAAAUUCCCAGGGAUUCAAGGAAAGAAGAUGAUCAAACAGUUUACUGUGCUGCAGUAUCCUUAGCCACCUGGAAUAUAUCACAUAACAGUGUGACAUUGCUCCGGAUUAUUUUGGUAAUUCAAUAAAUGUGAAUUCAACCCUGGGGAAAUAUAACUGUGUAAAAAUGUAAUUAUUGGCUUAUAGAAAUCAUACUUUCCUCAUGUUCCAUUGCUUUCCCAAGAGAAAUUUAUUACCUUUGGGACUGAAAGCUAUA